GAUGUUGUGCAGAAACGCUUUUGAUGCAGGCUAUAAUUAAAAUGGAAGAAUGAGGAAGAUAGAUCUGAUAUGAAACAAGAGGAAGGAAGUCAAUAAGCAUCAAGAACUUCACUCACUCCCCUGACGCAGUGGCAUGCACAGGUCUCUGGGUGGAACACGAACACCAGUUGCUCUUGGACGUAACCUCAUUCCAGUCGUGGAGAGAAAAGAUUUCCAGAUUGGAAGCAUAAUACCUGAGAGCAAAGGAGAGAAGCAAAGGAGGGAGCAGGAGGAUACUUGGCCAGACGUGUAAAUAGCACUGAGAUGUUUGGAUCCUGACAUGCUGAAAGCCACAAAGACUUCUACAUUUUUUGUGUCCUCAGCUUCAGAAACUGAAGAGUAAGAAGCAGCUACAUGCAAAGUCUGGAUGCAGAAGUAAUAUCCUGACUUGUUCAUAUCUUGACUUCCAAACAGUGAUGGAAAACAGUUGUUGGUAAAAGUUGCAGGCUCAGUGAACUUAUCGUGAUUGCAUGUUCCUGAGAAGAAGCAGACGUUAUCAGCACAGAGUGGGAAUGUUGUCUAAAAUAGGUAAGUAAAAUUACUAUAAUGAAUCCACCAUCACUUGAUGAAAUACCCUGUUGAAGGUUGCAAACAGAAGUAUUUAAAGAAAACACUAUUUUACAAGAAAUUGUUGCCUUGACUGCAUGUGAAUCUCACUGGGAAAUCUGUCAUCUUGUUUCUGACAUUUGUUCUGAGAAGGGAAGAAAAAAAUCUGUUAAGAACUAUGCCAAGAUAAGCAGUGGUAAAAUUACCAACUAAGGAGCCUCCAGUAGAAUGCUAUUAUAAGAAGGGAACAACAUAAAGAAGAUGACAAACUUCUUAUGUAAGUUAUGAACCUCCAUGGUCUAAUGGAAGAUGUUAUAGCCACAAAUUAAACCUAUCUGACAAGAAGUCCUACUGGCCAAGAGCUAUUCUUUUCUAUUAAAGGAAAAAGCUACUUUACUUCUCUAGCAUAGCAGCCAGGGGGAAGUUUUACUGGUACAAAGCUGAAGAAGAGAAAGAGCAAAAUAAAACUAAUAAACUUUAAAGGAGGUCGUAGGAA
rnacentral:lncRNA from 1 species